GAUGAACGCUGGCGGCGUGCCUAAUACAUGCAAGUCGAGCGAACGGACGAGAAGCUUGCUUCUCUGUUGUUAGCGGCGGACGGGUGAGUAACACGUGGAUAACCUACCUAUAAGACUGGGAUAACUUCGGGAAACCGGAGCUAAUACCGGAUAAUAUUUUGAACCGCAUGGUUAAAAAGUGAAAGACGGUCCUGCUGUCACUUAUAGAUGGAUCCGCGCUGCAUUAGCUAGUUGGUAAGGUAACGGCUUACCAAGGCAACGAUGCAUAGCCGACCUGAGAGGGUGAUCGGCCACACUGGAACUGAGACACGGUCCAGACUCCUACGGGAGGCAGCAGUAGGGAAUCUGCCGCAAUCGGCGAAAGCCUUACGGAGUGACGCCGCGCCGGUGAUGAAGAUCUUCGGAUCGUAAAACUCUGUUAUUAGGGAUGAACAGAUGUGUACGUAACUGUGCAGCUCUUGACGGUACCUAAUCAGAAAGCCACGGCUAACUACGUG
rnacentral:rRNA from 1 species